GAUGAAGAACGUAGCGAAAUGCGAUAAGUAAUGUGAAUUGCAGAAUUCAGUGAAUCAUCGAGUCUUUGAACGCACAUUGCGCCCCUUGGUAUUCCGAGGGGCAUGCCUAUUCGAGCGUCAUUAUCACCCCUCAAGCCUAGCUUGGUGUUGAGGCCUGCUGUCAAGGCAGCCUCUAAGAUCAGUGGCAGUGCUGUCAGGCUCUAAGCGUAGUAAAUCUAAUCGCUAUAGACACCUGGUGGACACUCGCCAGAACCCCCCCCAUUUUUUAAUGAUUGACCUCGGAUUAGGUAGGGAUACCCGCUGAACUUAAGCAUAUCAAUAAGCGGAGGA
rnacentral:misc_RNA from 1 species